GAUGAACGCUAGCGGCAGGCCUAACACAUGCAAGUCGAGGGGUAGAGGUUGCUUGCAACCUUGAGACCGGCGCACGGGUGCGUAACGCGUAUGCAAUCCGCCUUGUACUGAGGGAUAGCCCAGAGAAGUUUGGAUUAAUACCUUAUAGUAUCUUUUCCCGGCAUCGGGAGAUUAUUAAAGUUCCAACGGUACAAGAUGAGCAUGCGUCCCAUUAGCUAGUUGGUAUGGUAACGGCAUACCAAGGCAAUGAUGGGUAGGGGUCCUGAGAGGGAGAUCCCCAACACGGGUACUGAGACAGGGACCAGACUCCUACGGGGGGCAGCAGUGAGGAAUAUUGGUCAAUGGGCGCAAGCCUGAACCAGCCAUGCCGCGUGCAGGAUGAAGCAUCUAUGGUGCGUAAACUGCUUUUAUACGGGAAGAAACACCGGUUCGUGAACCGGCUUGACGGUACCGUAAGAAUAAGGAUCGGCUAACUCCGUGCCAGCAGCCGCGGUAA
rnacentral:rRNA from 1 species